rnacentral:lncRNA from 1 species
AGAGACUGCAAAGUAGUACAAGCACUUUGGAAAGCAGUAUGGAGAUUCCUCCAAAAACUAGGCAUGGAACACCAUAUUACCCAACCUUUCCACUUCUUGGUAUUUAUCUAAAAGAACUAAACUCAGCACACCAUAGUGAAACAGGUACAUCAAUGUUUAUAGCAGCACAAUUCACAAUAGCCAAUUUAUGGACCAUCCCAGGCGUCCAUCAACAGAUGAAUGGAUAAAGAAUAAUGUGGUGUAUGAAUACACAAUGGAGUUUUAUUUUACUCGGCCACAAAGAAGAAUGAAAUUACGACAUUUCUUGCUAAAUGGAUGAAACUGAAGAACAUCUUAAGAAAUGAAAUAAACAAGACUCAGAAACUCAAGGGUCAAAUGUUUUCUCUCAUGUGUGAAAACUAUAGCAAAAUAAGGGAAAAAGGUUAUAGGGUCCCCAUGAAAAUAGAAGGGAGAUCAGU